rnacentral:tRNA from 1 species
CCGCCGAUAGCUCAGCUGGUAGAGGGGAGGACUGUAGAGUUGCAGCAAUCCUUAGGUCGCUGGUUCGAAUCCGGGUCGGCGGA